AGUGGCGGACGGGUGAGUAACGCGUGAGCCAUCUGCCUUGGGGUCGGGGACAACCACUGGAAACGGUGGCUAAUACCGGAUAAGCCGAUUGGUGAAAGAUUUAUUGCCCGAAGAGGAGCUCGCGUCUGAUUAGCUAGUUGGUGAGGUAAGAGCUCACCAAGGCAGCGAUCAGUAGCGGGUCUGAGAGGACGAUCAGCCACACUGGGACUGAGACACGGCCCAGACUCCUACGGGAGGCAGCAGUGGGGAAUUUUCCGCAAUGGGCGAAAGCCUGACGGAGCAAGACCGCGUGAGGGAGGAAGGCUCUUGGGUUGUAAACCUCUUUUCUCAGGGAAGAAGCUCUGACGGUACCUGAGGAAUCAGCCUCGGCUAACUCCGUGCCAGCAGCCGCGGUAAUACGGAGGAGGCAAGCGUUAUCCGGAAUUAUUGGGCGUAAAGCGUCCGCAGGUGGCGAUUCAAGUCUGCUGUCAAAGCACGGGGCUUAACUCCGUAAAGGCAGUGGAAACUGAAUAGCUAGAGUGCCGUAGGGGUAGAGGGAAUUCCCGGUGUAGCGGUGAAAUGCGUAGAGAUCGGGAAGAACAUCGGUGGCGAAAGCGCUCUACUGGACGGCAACUGACACUCAGGGACGAAAGCUAGGGGAGCGAAUGGGAUUAGAUACCCC
rnacentral:rRNA from 1 species